rnacentral:lncRNA from 1 species
AAAACUAAAUACAAGCACUCCAUCAACCCAAGCUUCCGUGAUCAAUUAAGCAAAUCUGUAAAAUAGGAAAGAAGAAAGUUAGAAGAAGAAGACUAGAAGAAGAAGAUUAUUAUGAUGCAACUAAAAUGUGAAGAUUAUUAUGAUGCAACUUAUAUCUUAAGCAUAUUAUGUCUUUUUAGAGCUAGUUAAUCAUAUUAACUAAUUUUGGAGGAAAAGAUUCUAAGUAUAGGUCAUUUUGAAGCUAGCUAAGCAUAUUAAGUCAUUUUGGAGGAAAAAAAUGCUAAGUAUAGGUCAUUUUAGAGCUAUCCUAGGUUAAAUAGGUCAUUUUGGAGCUAAUUAAGCUUAUUAUGUAAUUUUUGAGCUAGCUAAGCAUAUUAAGUCAUUUUGGAGGAAAAAAUGCUAAGUAUAGGUCAUUUUAGAGCUAGCCUAGGUUGAAUAGGUCAUUUUGAAGCUAAGUAAUGUUAUUAUGUCAUUUUGGAGCUAGCUAAGCAUAUGAAGUCAUUUAGGACUUAAAAUAUGUCAUUUCUUAAGCAUAUUAUACCAUUUUAGAGCUAGCUAAGCAUAUUAAGUCAUUUUGGAGGAAAAGAUGCUAAGUAUAGGUCAUUUUAGAGCUAUCCUAGGUUAAAUAUGACAUUUUUAAGCUAGCUAAGCAUAUUAAGUCAUUUUGGAGGAAAAAUGCUAAGUAUAGGUCAUUUUCGAGCUAUCCUAGGUUAAAUAUGUCAUUUUGGAGCUAAUUAAGCUUAUUAUGUCAUUUUUGAGCUAGCUAAGCAUAUUGAGUCAUUUUGGAGGAAAAAAUGCUAAGUAUAUGAUUAUGUCGCUAGUAUCCAUAUGGCAGAGAACCCGGGCCGACAUGACUAGUCAUAGAACCAAGGUGGCACAAACGUACAGGGACAGGCAUACAUGACCCAGCAAUGCAUGUGUCGAUCAUCAUCGAAUGCAACCAAGUCGUAGCAAGCUACAAGGACUUCGGUGAUACACCGUGUGACAUUUCCCCGUAGGAACAGACACAAGAGCAAAGAAGGACACAUGCCGGUCAAUCCAUGUGUUCCGGAGCAGUAGCGAACUACCAUGGCUCAGUGGAAGCACUAGGAGGCAUUUCCCUGUAUGGAAGGCUACCAAAGGCACAUGACUAGGUGUCGAAUCCCACAUAUACAAUACAUUUCAAACAUACACACAUUAUGCACGAUAUGUGUAGAUACAACAUGGCAUCACAACAAAACUCUAUUAAGCAAAACACUUGGGAAACUUACCGUCAUCACGGAGGUGUAGGUGUAGGUGUAGGUGUAGGACCGGUCGCACCAGUGGCAGACGGAGAAGGAUCGGUCGAUGCUUGUCGGGAGUUACGCUGCACCAAAGAUUAUGUCCAAUGUAUCGUUAGCAUGAUGCAACUCAAAUGUGAAGACUAGUAACUAAUGACCG